ACCGAGCCCUCAGUUGCCGGGGGAGCUGAUGUGGAGGAUCAACCGCCAAUCCAGGUACCUCGAAGUUGGCCAGGACCAGUUCGUUAGCAUGCCGGGGGUGAUAAGCACUAGGGAGCCCGUCGAAGGAUAAACCUUUGAUGGCGAGAUCACCAUCACCGCCAGGCUCAAGGUUGCUGGUGACUUAGGAGCCGGCAGCAGCAUGCUUACAGAAGAGCAGCUUCUCCUGUCCAUGGGUGAUAACUUCCGCCAGCUCCAUGUUGGGAAAAAUAGCAUAAAUUCAAAAGUUUC
rnacentral:lncRNA from 1 species